rnacentral:tRNA from 1 species
GCCGGGAUAGCUCAGUUGGCAGAGCGUCGCUCUUGUAAAGCGAAUGUCGCGAGUUCGAUUCUCGCUCCCGGCU